GUGGGGAAUUUUGGACAAUGGGCGCAAGCCUGAUCCAGCAAUGCCGCGUGCAGGAAGAAGGCCUUCGGGUUGUAAACUGCUUUUGUACGGAACGAAAAGGCUCUGGUUAAUACCUGGGGCUCAUGACGGUACCGUAAGAAUAAGCACCGGCUAACUACGUGCCAGCAGCCGCGGUAAUACGUAGGGUGCAAGCGUUAAUCGGAAUUACUGGGCGUAAAGCGUGCGCAGGCGGUUUUGUGAGACAGACGUGAAAUCCCCGGGCUCAACCUGGGAAUGGCGUUUGUGACUGCAAAGCUGGAGUGCGGCAGAGGGGGAUGGAAUUCCGCGUGUAGCAGUGAAAUGCGUAGAGAUGUGGAGGAACACCGAUGGCGAAGGCAGCCCCCUGGGAUGACACUGACGCUCAUGUACGAAAGCGUGGGUAGCAAACAGGAUUAGAAACCCCUGUAGUCC
rnacentral:rRNA from 1 species